UGGGGAAUUUUGGACAAUGGGGGAAACCCUGAUCCAGCCAUCCCGCGUGUGCGAUGAAGGCCUUCGGGUUGUAAAGCACUUUUGGCAGGAAAGAAACGUCGCGGGCUAAUACCUCGCGAAACUGACGGUACCUGCAGAAUAAGCACCGGCUAACUCCGUUCCAGCAGCCGCGGUAAUACGGAGGGUGCGAGCGUUAUCCGGAUUUACUGGGUUUAAAGGGUGCGUAGGUGGGCUUAUAAGUCAGUGGUGAAAUCUCCGAGCUUAACUUGGAAACUGCCGUUGAUACUGUAGGUCUUGAAUUAUCUGGAGGUAAGCGGAAUAUGUCAUGUAGCAGUGAAAUGCUUAGAUAUGACAUAGAACACCUAUUGCGAAGGCAGCUUACUACAUAUAAAUUGACGCUGAGGCACGAAAGCGUGGGGAUCAA
rnacentral:rRNA from 1 species